AGGUCACUGGGCCGCAACUGACGCUGAGGAGCGAAAGCAUGGGGAGCGAACAGGAUUAGAUACCCUGGUAGUCCAUGCCGUAAACGUUGGGCACUAGGUGUGGGGCUCAUUCCACGAGCUCUGUGCCGCAGCAAACGCAUUAAGUGCCCCGCCUGGGGAGUACGGCCGCAAGGCUAAAACUCAAAGAAAUUGACGGGGGCCCGCACAAGCGGCGGAGCAUGCGGAUUAAUUCGAUGCAACGCGAAGAACCUUACCAAGGCUUGACAUACACCGGAAAAGUGCAGAGAUGUGCUCCCCGUAAGGUCGGUGUACAGGUGGUGCAUGGUUGUCGUCAGCUCGUGUCGUGAGAUGUUGGGUUAAGUCCCGCAACGAGCGCAACCCUCGUCCCAUGUUGCCAGCGGGUUAUGCCGGGGACUCAUGGGAGACUGCCGGGGUCAACUCGGAGGAAGGUGGGGAUGACGUCAAAUCAUCAUGCCCCUUAUGUCUUGGGCUUCACGCAUGCUACAAUGGCCGGUACAAAGGGCUGCGAUACCGCGAGGUGGAGCGAAUCCCAAAAAGCCGUCUCAGUUCGGAUUGGGGUCUGCAACU
rnacentral:rRNA from 1 species